GACGAACGCUGGCGGCGUGCUUAACACAUGCAAGUCGAACGGUAAGGCCCUUCGGGGUACACGAGUGGCGAACGGGUGAGUAACACGUGGGUGAUCUACCCUGCACUUCGGGAUAAGCCUGGGAAACUGGGUCUAAUACCGGAUAGGACCACUGCCUGCAUGGGUGGUGGUGGAAAGCUUUUGCGGUGUGGGAUGGGCCCGCGGCCUAUCAGCUUGUUGGUGGGGUGAUGGCCUACCAAGGCGACGACGGGUAGCCGGCCUGAGAGGGUGACCGGCCACACUGGGACUGAGAUACGGCCCAGACUCCUACGGGAGGCAGCAGUGGGGAAUAUUGCACAAUGGGCGCAGGCCUGAUGCAGCGACGCCGCGUGAGGGAUGACGGCCUUCGGGUUGUAAACCUCUUUCAGCACCGACGAAGCGCAAGUGACGGUAGGUGCAGAAGAAGGACCGGCCAACUACGUGCCAGCAGCCGCCGUAA
rnacentral:rRNA from 1 species